GAGAGAGAGAGAUGCGUUCCCUUCUGUUCUUCUUGGUGGUGGUGGUGGUGAUGGUGGCGGUGAGGGGCGAGGUGGUGAAGGAGGAAGGAAGGGAGGAGGUGAAGGAAGGGAAUACUGGGCAGAGUAGAGUCGAUUUAGAAAUGCUGGAAGAAGAAGAAGAAGAAGAAGGAGAAGAAGAACUAGAAGAAGUAGGAGAAGAAGAAGAAGAAGAAGGAGGAGAAGAACUAGAAGUAGGAGAAGAAGAAGAAGAAGAAGAACUAGAAGUAGGAGAAGAAGAAGGAGAAAAAGAAGAAGGAGAAGAAGAACUAGAAGAAGUAGGAGAAGAAGACGUAAUAGGAGGAGAAGAACUAGGAAGAGUAGAAGAAUUUGAAGAUUAUGACAAUGCAAGGAUAGAAGAGGCGGCCUUGAGGAAACAUAAGAACCGAUGCGAGAAGAAGGGGGGUUACUGCAAGCUUCCGAUGAGAGGUUGGUGCAAGACUAACUACAGCCCCUCGAACAACAGAAACUUGUGCGAUACGAAGGAUGAGAUUUGCUGUGUUAAGAAGACAGGCAAACCCAAGUGCGGCAUGAGCUCAAUCUGCACGAAAAAGGGCGGUUGGUGCAUGUCGAAGAAAGAGAAGUGCCAUGGGACCACGAUCAGCAAGCCAGGCAUUUGCGGCUCGAAGCAAUGUAUGUGCUGUGUGGAGAACAAGCCGCCAGGUGAUGAUGACAAUGAUGAUAAUAA